ensembl:lncRNA
GUUGAGGCUGGAGUUAGAGAGGUGGAGUCUGGAUGCUGAGUCUGGGUCUUUAGAGAGGUGGAGUCUGGAUGCUGAGUCUGGGUCUUUAGAGAGGUGGAGUCUGGAUGCUGAGUCUGGGUCUUUAGUGAGGUGGAGUCUGGAUGCUGAGUCUGGGUCUUUAGAGAGGUGGAGUCUGGAUGCUGAGUCUGGGUCUUUAGAGAGGUGGAGUCUGGAUGCUGAGAACUGGGUCUUUAGUGAGGUGGAGUCUGGAUGCUGAGUCUGGGUCUUUUUGUAACUCCUUGAGUAGAUGUUGUUCAGUUCGCCUUGUUGAGGCUGGAGUUAGAGAGGUGGAGUCUGGAUGCUGAGUCUGGGUCUUUAGUGAGGUGGAGUCUGGAUGCUGAGUCUGGGUCUUUAGUGAGGUGGAGUCUGGAUGCUGAGUCUGGGUCUUUAGUGAGGUGGAGUCUGGAUGCUGAGUCUGGGUCUUUAGUGAGGUGGAGUCUGGAUGCUGAGUCUGGGUCUUUAGAGAGGUUGAGUCUGGAUGCUGAGUCUGGGUCUUUAGUGAGGUGGAGUCUGGAUGCUGAGUCUGGGUCUUUAGAGAGGUGGAGUCUGGAUGCUGAGUCUGGGUCUUUAGUGAGGUGGAAUCUGGAUGCUGAGUCUGGGUCUUUAGUGAGGUGGAGUCUGGAUGCUGAGUCUGGGUCUUUAGAGAGGUGGAGUCUGGAUGCUGAGUCUGGGUCUUUAGAGAGGUGGAGUCUGGAUGCUGA